CCUACGAGAGGCAGCAGUGAGGAAUAUUGGUCAAUGGGCGCGAGACUGAACCAGCCAAGUAGCGUGAAGGAUGACUGCCCUACGGGUUGUAAACUUCUUUUAUAAAGGAAUAAAGUGAGGCACGUGUGCCUUUUUGUGUGUACUUUAUGAAUAAGGAUCGGCUACCUCCGUGCCAGCAGCCGCGGUAAUACGGAGGAUCCGAGCGUUAUCCGGAGUUAUUGGGUUUAAAGGGAGCGGAGAUGGGUUGUUAAGUCAGUUGUGAAAGUUUGCGGCUCAACCGUAAAAGUGCAAUGGAUAAUGGCAGCCUUGAGUACAGUUGAGGUAGGCGGAAUUCGUGGUGUAGCGGUGAAAUGCUGAGAUAUCACGAAGAACUCCGAUUGCGAAGGCAGCCUACUAAACUGCCACUGACAUUGAUGCUAGAAAGUGUGGGUAUCAAACAGGAUUAGAUACCCCUGUAGUC
rnacentral:rRNA from 1 species